GACAUUGUGGCCGAGUGGUUAAGGCGAUUCCCUGCUAAGGAAUUAUGCUCUGCAUGCGAAGGUUCGAAUCCUUCCAAUGUCG
rnacentral:tRNA from 1 species